AUGCAGGAAUUAGUGGACAUUCGGGACUUGCACGUUGGGCCAUGGCUUGUGGCAGGGGACUUUAAUCUCCUUGCCAAGUAGGAAGACAAGAGCAAUGCCUUGGUGAAUAGAAGAAUGCUUGUGAGGUUACGAGCCAAGCUAAACCUACUUGAGCUGAAAGAAUUGUACCUCAAUGGGAGACGAUACAUGUGGUCCAAUGAGAGGAGGAAUGCAACUUUGGAGAAGAUCGAUCAUGUCUUUGUUUCGAAUGAGUGCGACGAGGCAUACCCCACCCGUUUCCUCUUGGCUCUUGGCACAGCGGUAUCAGAUCACUGCCCGUUGAUGCUAGACUUGAAUGUGGAUAUU
rnacentral:rRNA from 1 species